rnacentral:lncRNA from 1 species
CGCGAAUGGGGCGGCGGAGGACCGUGGCAAGGGUAUUGCGCCAUAGCUAGUGGCCACCGAGACUUAUGUAUUUUUAGUCAUUCUUUUUGUACAUGUGUGAACUUUCCUUUGUUGAUUUAGAGAAAUGUAAAGUUGUAAACAAUCAUAUGUUUUGGUGGAAUGAUUAAGUUGUAUAAGAAUUAUGGUUGAACGAAAAAAGAGGUAAUAGUUUUAGUUCACUUGUAUUGGUUUAAAUAUAAUCAAAUAUCAUAUAUGGUUGUAUG